rnacentral:rRNA from 1 species
UACGUAGGGACCAAGCGUUGUCCGGAAUCAUUGGGCGUAAAGAGCGUGUAGGCGGUCCGGUAAGUCCGCUGUGAAAGUCGGGGGCUCAACCCUCGAAUGCCGGUGGAUACUGUCGGGCUAGAGUGCGGAAGAGGCGAGUGGAAUUCCUGGUGUAGCGGUGAAAUGCGCAGAUAUCAGGAGGAACACCGAUGGCGAAGGCAGCUCGCUGGGACGGUACUGACGCUGAGGAGCGAAAGCGUGGGGAGCGAACAGG